rnacentral:lncRNA from 1 species
ACCCACAAAAGCAGUACGCGGAUGCGGUGAUAGAAGUGCUUCCAACCCAGUUGAUUCCAGAUGACAAUGAAGGCAAAGUGUUGAGAGUGAGAUUGAUAAUGAAAGAAGGUGUUAAGUACUUCAGCCCGGUUUACCUAUUCGAUGAAGGUUCAACCAUCUCGUGGAUCCCUUGUGGUCGCAAACUCACCUGCUCCUACCCUGGCAUCAAGUUCAACUACCAACCUGAUUCCUACUUCGACAAUGAGGUGCAUUCAUUUGUCUCUUUAGGUUACAGAAUGAGUUUUAAGUUUCUUUAGAUCUUGGUUUGAACAUUUUUGUUCUUUCUUUCAGGUUUCUGUUGUGGAGAUGGAUGGGCAAUUCGAUAGACUGGACGAGCUGAUUUACGUGGAGAGCCAUCUGAGCAACCUCUCAACCAAAUUCUACGGUGAAGUGACUCAACAAAUGCUCAAACAUGCUGACUUCCCUGGUAGCAACAACGGAACUGGUCUUUUCCAGACCAUUGUAGGAUUGAAAAUCAGAGAUCUCUAUGAGCAGCUCAUUGCCAACAAAGCCAAUGCUCCUACAGAAGCUGCUAAAGCCUAAAACAAAUAAGCAAAACAGAACGCGUCGAUAAACCCAUUGGUUGUUUCUUCUUCUUUCUUUCUUUAUGCUUUGUUUCCGCGGAUUUUCAUGGAGAAAAGGACGGUGUUGCGAUUACCAAAAAAAAAAAAGGACGGUGUUGCAUGUUUGUUAUUUGUGUGGAGAUAUAAAAAGAAAAGCAUGUAAUGUAGAAAAUUUAUUAGCAGAGCAAUAACAAUUAAGUUAGUACAAUGCUUUUAUCUAUUGAUAAAAGUAGAUUAAAACCGAAAAUCAACCUUUAAGCAAAAGAAUGAAUUAAAGGUUUCUUCCUGUUGAUCAUACUCAUGUAUUUUAGUAUGUAUCUAACAUAGAUACAUAUUGAUUUCGAGUUACAGAAGUGCACUGGUAAAAACUUGCCUUUGAUGCCUUCUGGAUCAGAGAGAAAUCCACAACUGCAUGAAACAUUCAAGGGAAAAAAUAUCUAAAUAUAUUUUCUUCAAAAAGGAAAUACAUCUAAAUAUUUUUAUCACCUUGGCUAUCUGCAAAAGGAGAUAUAUAUUACCAAUAUAUUUUUGAAGAAGAGCCCUUACUAGCUUUUCACAAGAGCUUUACCAAGCCCUUGACCCUGAAACCAAAAAUAAAAGAACAAUUCUUAACAUUAAACACAGUUCCAAAACAGAAACUUCAUUUUUUUUUUGUUAACUGAUAUCUAGGAUCAACAAGAACAUGGACCCUAAAGUGUAGCACUAAAGAAUGAUCCUACGUCGCACCAUUUCAUUUAGCUUCUUCCUCUGCUGUUGAUAAUUAUCGCCUUAUGUGGUCUUCAAUGGAAAGCAUUUGUAAAAACAUAAUAUUACUAAUUAUUCAAUCAACUACUAAACCAUUUAUAGUAGCAUUUAGAAGCUGCAAAAAUGUUCUCCAGAUAAUCUUUAUUCAAUGUUUUUAUAUGAAACUUUUGAUAAAACAUUAUCAUUUAUAUAUAAAAAUUAAAAAUUAUUUUAUAUAAUUUAUUAAUUUUAGUUAAUAAUAUCAAAAAUUAUAUUUAUAUUCAAUUUAUUAAAUUUAUAAUUUUAAAACUAAAAUUUAUAAUUAAUAUUUCUAAUUUUUAACAAUGAAGGCAAAGUGUUGAGAGUGAGAUUGAUAAUGAAAGAAGGUGUUAAGUACUUCAGCCCGGUUUACCUAUUCGAUGAAGGUUCAACCAUCUCGUGGAUCCCUUGUGGUCGCAAACUCACCUGCUCCUACCCUGGCAUCAAGUUCAACUACCAACCUGAUUCCUACUUCGACAAUGAGGUGCAUUCAUUUGUCUCUUUAGGUUACAGAAUGAGUUUUAAGUUUCUUUAGAUCUUGGUUUGAACAUUUUUGUUCUUUCUUUC